CACGUAGGGUGCGAGCGUUGUCCGGAAUUAUUGGGCGUAAAGAGCUCGUAGGCGGUGUGUCGCGUCGGCCGUGAAAACCUGCAGCUUAACUGUGGGCUUGCGGUCGGUACGGGCAUCACUGGAGUUCGGCAGGGGAGACUGGAAUUCCUGGUGUAGCGGUGAAAUGCGCAGAUAUCAGGAGGAACACCGGUGGCGAAGGCGGGUCCCUGGGCCGAUACUGACGCUGAGGAGCGAAAGCGUGGGGAGCGAACAGG
rnacentral:rRNA from 1 species